AUGCUAAUACCGGAUAACAACAAGAUGAUGCCUAUCAACUGUUUAAAAGAUGGUUCUGCUAUCACUCUUGGAUGGACCUGCGGUGCAUUAGCUAGUUGGUAGGGUAACGGCCUACCAAGGCGAUGAUGCAUAGCCGAGUUGAGAGACUGAUCGGCCACAUUGGGACUGAGACACGGCCCAAACUCCUACGGGAGGCAGCAGCA
rnacentral:rRNA from 1 species